GACGAACGCUGGCGGCGUGCUUAACACAUGCAAGUCGAGCGGUAAGGCCCUUUCGGGGGUACACGAGCGGCGAACGGGUGAGUAACACGUGGGUGACCUGCCCUCAGCUCUGGGAUAAGCCUGGGAAGCCGGGUCUAAUACCGGAUAUGACUCCAUGACGCAUGUUGUGGGGUGGAAAGCCUUGUGCGGCUGAGGAUGGGCCCGCGGCCUAUCAGCUUGUUGGUGGGGUGANGGCCUACCAAGGCGACGACGGGUAGCCGGCCUGAGAGGGCGACCGGCCACACUGGGACUGAGACACGGCCCAGACUCCUACGGGAGGCAGCAGUGGGGAAUCUUGCGCAAUGGGCGAAAGCCUGACGCAGCGACGCCGCGUGAGGGAUGACGGCCU
rnacentral:rRNA from 1 species